rnacentral:rRNA from 1 species
GUUUUUCGCUCAUAGAUGAGUCCGCGUGAGAUUAGCUAGUUGGUGAGGUAACGGCUCACCAAGGCGACGAUCUCUAACUGGUCUGAGAGGAUGAUCAGUCACACUGGAACUGAGACACGGUCCAGACUCCUACGGGAGGCAGCAGUAGGGAAUAUUGCACAAUGGAGGAAACUCUGAUGCAGCGACGCCGCGUGAGUGAUGAAGGCUUUCGGGUCGUAAAGCUCUGUCGCAGGGGAAUAACACAAUG